rnacentral:ncRNA from 3 species
CGUGAAGCGUUCCAUAUUUUUU